rnacentral:rRNA from 1 species
CCUACGGGGAGCUGCAGUGAGGAAUAUUGGUCAAUGGGCUUACGCCUGAACCAGCCAAGUCGCGUGAGGGAAGACUGCCCUAUGGGUUGUAAACCUCUUUUGUCAGGGAGCAACGCCGGCUACGUGUAGCCGGACUGAGAGUACCUGAAGAAAACGCAUCGGCUAACUCCGUGCCAGCAGCCGCGGUAAUACGGAGGAUGCGAGCGUUAUCCGGAUUUAUUGGGUUUAAAGGGUGCGUAGGCGGACUGGAAAGUCAGCGGUAAAAUCGAGAGGCUCAACCUCUUUCCGCCGUUGAAACUGUCGGUCUUGAGUGGGCGAGAAGUAUGCGGAAUGCGUGGUGUAGCGGUGAAAUGCAUAGAUAUCACGCAGAACUCCGAUUGCGAAGGCAGCAUACCGGCGCCCGACUGACGCUGAGGCACGAAAGCGUGGGUAUCGAACAGGAUUAGAUACCCUUGUAGUC